rnacentral:rRNA from 1 species
AUUGAACGCUGGCGGCAGGCCUAACACAUGCAAGUCGAACGGUAACAGAAAGCAGCUUGCUGCUUUGCUGACGAGUGGCGGACGGGUGAGUAAUGUCUGGGAAACUGCCUGAUGGAGGGGGAUAACUACUGGAAACGGUAGCUAAUACCGCAUAACGUCGCAAGACCAAAGAGGUGGACCUUCGGGCCUCUUGCCAUCGGAUGUGCCCAGAUGGGAUUAGCUAGUAGGUGGGGUAAAGGCUCACCUAGGCGACGAUCCCUAGCUGGUCUGAGAGGAUGACCAGCCACACUGGAACUGAGACACGGUCCAGACUCCUACGGGAGGCAGCAGUGGGGAAUAUUGCACAAUGGGCGCAAGCCUGAUGCAGCCAUGCCGCGUGUGUGAAGAAGGCCUUCGGGUUGUAAAGUACUUUCAGCGGGGAGGAAGGGAGUAAAGUUAAUACCUUUGCUCAUUGACGUUACCCGCAGAAGAAGCACCGGCUAACUCCGUG